ACAGUGGAGUCCCGAAGCGCGUUCGCUCCUCAGGACGGUCCGAGUAAACCCGAGCGCGGACGAACUCCCCCGACUUUGAAAAAGAAGACUGUCGGGAAGGGGAAAACGUUUAUUCUGUUUUUCUCUCUUACUCGGACUCGCACAACUGAAAGGUUCAAAUGCAGUUACAUGAAGUAUAAAGUGUCUGCAGCCCAUGUUACAGAUCGUAGACCAGAAACUAGUGAAUAAAAUGUUUGGGCAUUGUUUAAGAAUGAGACUGAACUUGAAUCCUGGUGCUGGACGAAUAAAACCGGUAUCAGCCCACGGGCGCAGUCAUGUUGGUCAUUAGUUCGCCUAACGUACGACGAGACCUAUCGAACUUAACUGGGCGCCGUCGCUACUGCUCUUUUUUCUUUGUCUCUUAUUCACGGGUACUGUACCAGUAUACAAUUGAUAAUCCAGCUGAAUUCUAUAGAACAAAAAUUUCCCAGCUCGCACACCAAGCAUUGAGGAAUGUGAGGUGUAGUGAGCAUGUGUGGAGUUGAACCUUCUCUCCGAAAAAAGAGUAGAAAAAGGAAAGAGAAAGAUGAUGACGGUUCAGAAAAUGUUUGGACGGAGAGAAACGUGAACGUCUAUUUGGUUCCCUUGACCAGCACCAGCAAAACCAGCAUAGCAGUAGAAGCAUUCGAUCGAGAGUGACUACCUGCCAAGUCGCGACGACCAGUCGACACGAAACGAGAAUAAGAGAGCUUCUUGAAUAAAACGAUAGAUUUCUCAUGUUAAGCAUCAAGCCGGAGGCGAAUAGUUUGAAACCUCAAGCUCGAGCAUCAUCCAGUUGGAUCUUUGACUAGUGCAGAAACUUUAUCAGCUGAUUUUCAACACCAGUUUCUGCCACCGUUUUAAACUAUCCAGCCUAAUAACGAAGCCUUCACAUCGAUCUAACUUUGGUGGGAAUUUAUAAAACUCGAUUUAUCAUCUUUCGGUCAAUUUACUGGGACAUUUAAGUUACGAUAUUACGAGGCACCUGCGUCAUAAUGGGGGCAAAAAGCCCGGCACCAAAGACUAUCUACUACAUACUAUAUGGCAAUAAGUAACAGUGAAGUAUGGAGGUAAGCUAAUAGCGCGGUUAGUAAUUACCACUAUUAGUGCAAUACCUUAUUCCUGCUCCUGCUCCUUCUCCUUGUACCAGUUCUCGUUCUCGUUCUUGGUCUUCACGGUGCAGGCACAAGGAAGAUACGUUUUGAAUAAUCGAUUAAAAUACUCGUUCCAGAUAUGUUGACUAUACUAUUACGCUCAAAGGCUUAAUCUCCAGCUACCGUUUUCUAUAAAUUUUCAUUCUAUCAAUUCUCUUAAUUUUAGCAUUAUUCAUGUAUUGUAAUCAGUAAUUACCGUCACUACUUAGUUGGGUUGCAAACUGCUGUACUUCUCAAGUGAUAGAUCCGAUUAUAUGCUAAUAGUUCAAUUUCAUUAUCAAUUACAGAUUUACUACCAGUU